rnacentral:rRNA from 1 species
UAUUAUUCGUCUGGUGGAUGGACGAAGAAGGCAGCCACCAGCGGGAAGUGGUGUGAAUUGCAGGACACAUUGAGCACUGAUUCUUCGAACGCACAUUGCGGCCUCGGGUCCUUCCCGUGGCCUCGCCUGUCUGAGGGUCGGAUA